rnacentral:lncRNA from 1 species
GUGAUUUUUUUAUUCAUACAUUACAAAAGCAAAGCUUCAUUCACAAUAUGAACUACAUACUAGAUAGAGUUAUUUCAGCAUUAAACUGCUCUCUGGAAUCCCUAAACAAUAUAGUGUGUUCUGCAACCAUACUCAAGUUUUAUAUUUUACAUACAAAAUACGUUCUUUACAUCAAAGUACAUAUUAAUGAAACCAAGUUCAAGAAAUCAUAUAACCUCUAAGACUACUUAAUGAAAAGUCCUUAGCAGGGAAUUUCUUAAAAAUAAUAUUUCCAUUUGAUAAAUAUUUUUGUAGAACUUAAAUGAGGUUUAUCUCUGGACAUUUUUUUAGGUAAUAUUCCCUUUGUCAAACAGUUCUGCAGAUGAAUGGCAAACACAUUUCUAAAAUGAGACAGCACUGGAAAAUAUCCAAUUAAAUUUUUUCAAAGUAAAAGUCUAGCCUUUACUUGAGUUUCAAGAAGUUGUAGCUACAUACUAUAUUAAUAAAAAUCUGAAAUAAAAUUAUUCCCUGUUAAUCUCAUCACAGUUUCUUAAAAAAAUAUUAGUGGAGAUAAAUUAUCUACCAACUUUAAAAAUCUAAACUUAUGUUCACUGAACAAAAAUAAAUUUAGUUUCAAAACAUUGCCUGUUAUCAGCAAAGUAUUAUAAAUAGUGCAUGUUAAACUUUUAUCAACUCAUUUCUAUAAAAUAUAUGAUUAAAAAUAAAAUGGGAGAAACAUAUUCAAUACUUAAUGGAAGAUAAUAUCUUUCCAAUACAGAAUUCUC